rnacentral:lncRNA from 1 species
AAAUUUCAUCUCCUCUACAGCACAUCAGGAGAUCAUCUACAAAACAGAUAUGAGUGAGCUGUAACUUGGAACAUUUGGGAUGGAAGUUGAAGUCUGGGUUCCUGUUUAAUUGCUUCAGUGUUCUGUUGAGGUAUUCCAUGACUAAGACAAACAGGUAGGGGGUGGAAGUUGAAGUCUGGGUUCCUGUCCAAUUGCUUCAGUGUUCUGUUGAGGUAUUCCACGACUAAGACAAACAGGUAGGGAGACAUUGGGUCUCCCUGUCUUAAUCCUUUCCUUGCUGUAAAUUUGCUGGUAAGACCUCCAUUGACUAGUAAAGAGAAGCUUGCUUUAGAGACACACUCCAUAAUUAAAGUGACCA